CACACCGCCCGUCACACCAUGGGAGUUGGAUUCACUCGAAGGCGUUGAGCUAACCCGCAAGGGAGGCAGGCGACCACAAUGGGUUUAGCGACUGGGGUG
rnacentral:rRNA from 1 species